GGGUCGUUAGCUCAGUCGGUAGAGCAGCGGACUUUUAAUCCGUUGGUCGAAGGUUCGAAUCCUUCACGACCCA
rnacentral:ncRNA from 15 species